rnacentral:rRNA from 1 species
UACAGAGGGGGCAAGCGUUGUUCGGAAUUACUGGGCGUAAAGGGCGCGUAGGCGGCCUGCUAAGUCGAACGUGAAAUCCCCGGGCUCAACCCGGGAACUGCGUCCGAUACUGGUUGGCUUGAAUCCGGGAGAGGGAUGCGGAAUUCCAGGUGUAGCGGUGAAAUGCGUAGAUAUCUGGAGGAACACCGGUGGCGAAGGCGGCAUCCUGGACCGGCAUUGACGCUGAGGCGCGAAAGCCAGGGGAAGCCAAAGCGGGG